rnacentral:tRNA from 1 species
GCGUUGGUGGUUCAGUGGUAGAAUACUCGCCUCCCACGCGGGUAGCCCAGGUUCGAUUCCCGGCCGACGCA